rnacentral:rRNA from 1 species
AGAGUUUGAUCCUGGCUCAGGACGAACGCUGGCGGCGUGCUUAACACAUGCAAGUCGAACGGGGUGUUUAUUUCGGUAAACACCAAGUGGCGAACGGGUGAGUAACGCGUAAGCAAUCUACCUUCAAGAUGGGGACAACACUUCGAAAGGGGUGCUAAUACCGAAUGAAUGUAAGAGUAUCGCAUGAGACACUUACUAAAGGAGGCCUCUGAAAAUGCUUCCGCUUGAAGAUGAGCUUGCGUCUGAUUAGCUAGUUGGUGAGGGUAAAGGCCCACCAAGGCGACGAUCAGUAGCCGGUCUGAGAGGAUGAACGGCCACAUUGGGACUGAGACACGGCCCAGACUCCUACGGGAGGCAGCAGUGGGGAAUCUUCCGCAAUGGGCGAAAGCCUGACGGAGCAACGCCGCGUGAACGAAGAAGGUCUUAGGAUCGUAAAGUUCUGUUGUUAGGGACGAAGGGUAAGAAUCAUAAUAAGGUUUUUAUUUGACGGUACCUAACGAGGAAGCCACGGCUAACUACGUGCCAGCAGCCGCGGUAAUACGUAGGCGGCAAGCGUUGUCCGGAAUUAUUGGGCGUAAAGGGAGCGCAGGCGGGAAACUAAGCGGAUCUUAAAAGUGCGGGGCUCAACCCCGUGAUGGGGUCCGAACUGGUUUUCUUGAGUGCAGGAGAGGAAAGCGGAAUUCCCAGUGUAGCGGUGAAAUGCGUAGAUAUUGGGAAGAACACCAGUGGCGAAGGCGGCUUUCUGGACUGUAACUGACGCUGAGGCUCGAAAGCUAGGGUAGCGAACGGGAUUAGAUACCCCGGUAGUCCUAGCCGUAAACGAUGGAUACUAGGUGUGGGAGGUAUCGACCCCUUCCGUGCCGGAGUUAACGCAAUAAGUAUCCCGCCUGGGGAGUACGGCCGCAAGGUUGAAACUCAAAUGAAUUGACG